GGGGCUAUAGCUCAGUUGGUAGAGCAUCUGCUUUGCACGCAGAGGGUCAGCGGUUCAAUCCCGCUUAGCUCCA
rnacentral:tRNA from 1 species